UGGGGAAUAUUGCACAAUGGGCGCAAGCCUGAUGCAGCCAUGCCGCGUGUGUGAAGAAGGCCUUCGGGUUGUAAAGCACUUUCAGCGAGGAGGAAGGUGGUGAACUUAAUACGUUCAUCAAUUGACGUUACUCGCAGAGAAGCACCGGCUAACUCCGUGCCAGCAGCCGCGGUAAUACGGAGGGUGCAAGCGUUAAUCGGAAUUACUGGGCGUAAAGCGCACGCAGGCGGUUUGUUAAGUCAGAUGUGAAAUCCCCGGGCUCAACCUGGGAACUGCAUUUGAAACUGGCAAGCUAGAGUCUCGUAGAGGGGGGUAGAAUUCCAGGUGUAGCGGUGAAAUGCGUAGAGAUCUGGAGGAAUACCGGUGGCGAAGGCGGCCCCCUGGACGAAGACUGACGCUCAGGUGCG
rnacentral:rRNA from 1 species